rnacentral:misc_RNA from 1 species
GAUGAAGAACGUAGCGAAAUGCGAUAAGUAAUGUGAAUUGCAGAAUUCCGUGAAUCAUCGAAUCUUUGAACGCACAUUGCGCCCCCUGGCAUUCCGGGGGGCAUGCCUGUCCGAGCGUCAUUUCUGCCCUCCAGCCCGGCUGGGUGUUGGGCGCUGUCCCCCCGGGGACACGCCCCAAAGGCAGUGGCGGCGCCGCGUCGGGUCCUCGAGCGUAUGGGGCUUUGUCACCCGCUCGGGACGGACUCGUCGGCGCUGGUCUUCCUCCAGGCGACCCUUCGGGGCUCGUCUUCCUUCGGUUGACCUCGGAUCAGGUAGGGUUACGCGCUGAACUUAAGCAUAUCAAUAAGCGGAGGA